GACAGAGGGUGCAACCGUUGUUCGGAAUUACUGGGCGUAAAGCGCACGUAGGUGGCGACGUAAGUCGGGUGUGAAAGCCCCGGGCUCAACCUGGGAAUUGCAUUCGAGACUGCAUUGCUGGAGUACGGAAGAGGAGGGCGGAAUUCCCGGUGUAGCGGUGAAAUGCGUAGAUAUCGGGAGGAACAUCAGUGGCGAAGGCGGCCCUCUGGUCCAGUACUGACACUCAAGUGCGAAAGCGUGGGGAGCAAACAGG
rnacentral:rRNA from 1 species